rnacentral:rRNA from 1 species
AACGAACGCUGGCGGCAGGCUUAACACAUGCAAGUCGAACGCAUCCUUCGGGGUGAGUGGCAGACGGGUGAGUAACGCGUGGGAACGUGCCCUUCAGUUCGGGAUAACCCAGGGAAACUUGGGCUAAUACCGGAUACGUGCGAGAGCAGAAAGAUUUAUCGCUGAAGGAUCGGCCCGCGUCUGAUUAGCUAGUUGGUGGGGUAAUGGCCCACCAAGGGGACGAUCAGUAGCUGGUCUGAGAGGAUGAUCAGCCACAUUGGGACUGAGACACGGCCCAAACGCCUACGGGAGGCAGCAGUGGGGAAUAUUGGACAAGGGGCGCAAGCCUGACCCAGCCAUGCCGCGUGAGUGAUGAAGGCCUUAGGGUUGUAAAGCUCUUUCGUCCGGGACGAUAAUGACGGUACCGGAAGAAGAAGCCCCGGCUAACUUCGUGCCAGCCGCCGCAGUAA